GAUGAACGCUAGCGGGAGGCUUAACACAUGCAAGUCGAGGGGUAACAUGAGGUAGCAAUACUUUGAUGACGACCGGCGCACGGGUGAGUAACACGUAUGCAACCUACCCUGUACAGGGGGAUAGCCCGGAGAAAUUCGGAUUAAUACCCCAUAAAGAUAUUUAGAGGCAUCUUUAAAUAUUUAAAGUUUCGACGGUACGGGAUGGGCAUGCGCAACAUUAGCUAGUUGGUAGGGUAACGGCCUACCAAGGCUACGAUGUUUAGGGGACCUGGGAGGGUGGUCCCCCACACUGGUACUGAGACACGGACCAGACUCCUACGGGAGGCAGCAGUGAGGAAUAGUGGUCAAUGGGCGUAAGCCUGAACCAGCCAUCCCGCGUGAAGGAAGAAGGCGCUAUGCGUUGUAAACUUCUUUUCCGGGGGAAGAAAACCCGCUACGAGUAGCGGCUUGCCGGUACCCUGGGAAUAAGCAUCGGCUAACUCCGUGCCAGCCGCCGCCGUAAAAC
rnacentral:rRNA from 1 species